rnacentral:rRNA from 1 species
CUGGCCCUAAAUCUUGAUGUUCCAUCCUACCUGAACAUCCGCCCGAGAACUACGAGCACAAACGCUUAAAACUCUAAGGACUUGGCGGUGCCCCAAACCCAC